GCCUCCCCCGCCUCAGGGAACGCCGGAUCAUCCCGGAGGUGUGCUCUCGCUCCGCUUUUGUAGCACUUCUCCUUGCUGGGAUUAGGAGCAAGAAUGCUUAAAAAAAUAUUUAAGAAUAAUAAGCGUGUGAUUUAUUUAAUCCUUUUAGCUGAUCGGUACUCCAUAGAUGCAAGUCUUAUGGGAAACCAGCCUCUUUCUGCCACCUUCAAGAGUCCCUGCGUAUAUACAUUGUUUAUACCCCUUUGGUGGUCCUCGUAGCAUAUCCUUCUCUUCUUAUCACUCUCAACAACCAGCUGAAGGGAGGUUGCAACCAGGGCAUUGACAACGAGACAGCAGAAUGAAGUUUGAGUGCCGCAGUCGAUUUAUGUGUUGCACCAAGGCAAUCAACCAGACCUUUCUGCUUGGAGGAGUGUUUAUUGUCUUGGGUUCAAGUAGAAUCCUCCUGAUGAAGUACUCUGCCAAUGAAGAUAACAAAUAUGAUUACCUUCCUACAACAGUGAACAUGUGUUCUGAAGUAGUAAAACUGGUCCUGUGUGUGGUGUUGGCACUAUGGAAGAGGAAAAAACAAAAGAGUUGUAUGGAUCAUCCUGUUGAAUGUCUUUCCUGGAAGAAUUUAUGUAAUUUGAUGAAAUGGUCAAUUCCUGCCUUUCUUUACUUUUUGGAUAAUUUGAUUGUCUUCUAUGUACUGUCCUACCUCCAGCCAGCAAUGGCUGUACUCUUCUCAAAUUUUGUCAUUAUAACAACAGCUCUUCUCUUCAGGAUAGUACUAAAGCGAAGACUCUCUUGGGUACAAUGGGCAUCUCUGGUGAUUUUAUUCCUGUCCAUCGUUUCCCUGACUCGAGGAACUGGAGGCCAUCAGCAAAGCUUGGCUGCACAUGGAUUUCAUCACAGUAUGUUUUUUAGUCCGUCUAACCACUGCCUUCUCUAUGCUGGACCUGAGGAAGCAUGCGUGGAAAAAGGCAACUGCGUAGCACCAAGUUUCCUUCACAGCUUCCAAUGGAAUGUCACCAAUACCAUGGCAGGAGCACUGAAACCUCUUCGCCUCAGCCUGGGCCAUCUGCUUAUUCUAGUGCAGUGUUUUGUUUCUGCCCUGGCCAACAUCUACAAUGAAAAGAUGUUGAAAGAUGUGGAUCAGCUUGGUGAAAGUAUCUUCACGCAGAACAGCAAACUCUACGCCUUUGGGGUGCUGUUCAAUGGGCUUAUGCUGGCGCUGCAGACAAAGGACCGGAGGCAGAUAGGGAACUGUGGCUUCUUUUAUGGGCACAACAUCUUCUCCGUGGCUCUUAUAUUUGUCACAGCUUUCCUGGGGCUGUCUGUAGCCUUCAUCUUGAAGUUCCGAGACAACAUGUUCCAUGUUAUGACUGCUCAGAUCAACACUGUCAUCAUCACCACAGUGUCUUUCAUCAUCUUUGACUUCAGGCCUUCUCUAGAGUUCUUUUUGGAAGCUCCUGUAGUGCUUCUCUCCAUAUUCAUCUAUAAUGCCAGUAAAGCAAGAGGCCUGGAAUAUGCCAGUCUGCGGGAAAGGGGAAAACUCGUCAAAGGAGAUGGAUGGGAGAGGUCAAGUGGGGAUGGAGAAGAAUUUGAGAGGUUGAACAAGCCAGGCAGUGACAUUGAUACAGAUGAAGAUUCCCUCUAGCAUGAGGCUGGCUCAGAGGAGUGCUAUUGCUCAUAGUUGGAGGUCUCAGGGAGAUUAUGUUGGAUGGCCAGGCAGGUUUCUUAAAAUAAUGGAGGAGAACUGUAUAUCUCCUUUGCAGCAGCAGGAAUGUUAACGGAUGCCUAAAAAUGGAUUUUGACAUGAUGAGGAGAAAACUGAGCUGCUGAGAAGUUUUUCUUCUUUUAGUGACAUUCAGACACUCCUGCUACAGGAAGAUGAGUUAGCAUUUGCCACCUUCAUCGUGCUGCCAACAGACCUCUCCCAGUUUAUUUCUGGUAGAAUUUCCAAUAUUUUUAAUACCAUAAUGCUGGCAGAUAAAAGAUUAAGAAUAAACUGCCUCUA